GAUGAACGCUAGCGGCAGGCCUAAUACAUGCAAGUCGAGGGAGAAUGUUGGAUUCGUCUGACAUGAAACCGGCGCACGGGUGCGUAACACGUAUGCAACCUACCUUUAACUGGGGUAUAGCUCAGAGAAAUCUGAAUUAAUCCCCCAUAAGACUACGACAUGGCAUCAUGAUGUAGUUAAAGCUCCGGCGGUUAAGGAUGGGCAUGCGGUACAUUAGCUAGUUGGUGAGGUAAUGGCUCACCAAGGCUACGAUGUAUAGGGGGUCUGAGAGGAGGAUCCCCCACACUGGUACUGAGACACGGACCAGACGCCUACGGGGGGGAGCAGUAGGGAAGAUUGGUCAAUGGACGAGAGUCUGAACCAGCCAUGCCGCGUGAAGGAUGAAGGCCCUAUGGGUCGUAAACUUCUUUUAUUAGGGAAGAAAAAACGGGAUGCGUCCUGUACUGACGGUACUUAAUGAAUAAGGAUCGGCUAACUUCGUGCCAGCCGCCGCAGUAA
rnacentral:rRNA from 1 species